rnacentral:rRNA from 1 species
UACGUAGGGUGCAAGCGUUGUCCGGAUUUAUUGGGUUUAAAGGGUGCGUAGGCGGCCUUGUAAGUCAGUGCUGAAAUAUCCCGGCUUAACCGGGAGGGUGGCAUUGAUACUGCAGGGCUUGAGUUAAGUUGAAGUUGGCGGAAUUGACGGUGUAGCGGUGAAAUGCUUAGAUAUCGUCAAGAACACCGAUAGUGAAGGCAGCUAACUAAACUUUUACUGACGCUGAGGCACGAAAGUGUGGGGAUCAAACAGG